GCUCUCAUCGUCUAACGGAAGGACCCCGGUCUUUCGAACCGGUGGCGCGGGUUCAACUCCCGCUGAGAGCA
rnacentral:tRNA from 1 species